rnacentral:lncRNA from 1 species
UGGUGAUCCACUCAACAUCAGUGCACAACAUGUCACAUCCAGGCCAGUGUAAUAAAACCCAUUGGACUCCAGUCAAGGCUUGGCUAAGGUCAGUUGCUACUUUUUGGAACAGAGAGCAGAGCUUACACAAUACAGAAAUUAAACCAACAGACUACGGAAGAUGUCUUAAAUGAAUUUCUCAGUUUAUUGAUAUACAAAGUUUAGGAGAACGAAAUGACGUGAAGUGUACUUAUGAAUGAUACAGCAUACAUGUAGAAAAUGGAGAAAAUUCAAUAAAUAGAAAUGACAUAACUAGAAACUAUUGUUGAAUAUCAGAAUUGAUAUGGUUAAUAGGUAGUUAGGACAAAGGAAUCACACUCAAAGACCUAACUCCUCUCUCCCUCCAGCCUAUCUUGUUGUGAGAUAAAUAUAACUUCUCAAAGCAAAAAAUGAUUAAAUGAUAAAACUUUACAAACUAAGGGCAGUAGACCAGGACUCAUUGUAGUCCUUGGCAAAGCAAGGUAGCAAAACAUUUCCUCCCAUCUUACGGUUCAUGUCAACAGGACUACACAAAACCUGGGCUAAGAAUGAACACAAUCUCUUUCACAGAUGAAGAAUGAGCAACAUGGAUGAGCAAGUGUGUUUCCUUUAUGCACUUCUGGGCAUCGGGAACAUGGAAUAUUUUAAGAAUCAACUGUUCCCUUAAUUUCUGGUUGUCAGGUGCUCCUUUGUGUUCAGAUCAGACCUCAGCACAAUCAUGUAGCACUUGGGAAGGAAGAUGCAGCCCAGAAGCCCAGCACUGGAGGCCAACAUAGAGAAGAUCUGCACGGCCACCAUGUACUUGCCCUUGGUGCUCAGAAAUACCUUCCCCCUUGGAGUCACCCACCUUCCUGGGCGGAGAAGGUCCCUUCCGCACACCGAGCACAAGCAUAGCAGCAAACGGGCUUUUCUUCUAGAACCACCUUGGCAUAUCCAGGUCGACAUCUCUCUGUACACCUGGAACGAGGUACGGCCUAACCCAGGGGUCGGCAACCUGCGCCUCCGGAGCCGCAUGCGGCUCUUUAACGCCUUUGCCGCGGCUCCGGGGCGGAGGCGAGGGGAGGAGGCGCAUGUUCCGCAAAGCCAUUUCCGAGCUAGAGAGGAGAGGGGGUUGCGAGCUAACCCCUCCCACACUCCAUUCGCGGGGGCUGGCCUUUUGCCCCCGCGAGAACAGGGGAAUCCCCGGGCGUGCCUGCAACCCUGCCCGCCAAUCGGACCGCCCUCUUUGC